rnacentral:lncRNA from 1 species
GGAGUCCAGAAGAUCGAAUCAGAGGUGGAGUACUUGAAGAAGAGGUUAAAAGAGAGAAAGAUAAAUCACAAGCUUCGCUGGGGUAAAUUUAUAGAUCAAAAAAUUUUACUCAAACAUGCUGAAAGCAGGAGAAAUCGGCUAGAGAAUGAAGGGGCUAAGAUCAUAGCCCAAGCUUGCAAAGCGGCAUUCUUCGCGGGCUUUGAGAAGUGUAAGUCCAUUGUCCUGGUGCAUCUUCCUCCUGACUUCAUCAAGCAUCUUUAAAUUGAUUUUCUAGAUAAAGAUUUAUAGGCGGUGUCGUCGGAUAGCUGAUCGAGGUUUAUAACGACGUCCUAUUUUCUAGACGAGGUGGAUAAGAUUGACACAGUUGUUCCGAUCGAAGAUAUUGUCGG